UACGGAGGGUGCAAGCGUUAUCCGGAUUUACUGGGUUUAAAGGGUGUGUAGGCGGGCCUUUAAGUCUGGGGUGAAAUCUCCGAGCUCAACUCGGAAACUGCCCUGGAUACUAUUGGUCUUGAAUUAUGUUGAGGUUGGCGGAAUAUAACAAUGUAGCGGUGAAAUGCAUAGAUAUGUUAUAGAACACCGAUUGCGAAGGCAGCUAACUAAGCAUAUAUUGACGCUGAGGCACGAAAAGCGUGGGGGAUCAAACAGG
rnacentral:rRNA from 1 species